CUGGUAUAUUGAUUGAUUUUUCAAGAAUACAUUUUAUUUGCAUCUAGAGAAAAAAAGAACCGCCCCCGAAAUUCCAAGAAAGAGAACCAAGGUUAAAAAUGUAAUUUUAUUUUUUUGGUUACCUUAAAUGGGAGAGAAUGGCCCGAAUAGAAUAUAAGACUUUCCUCCCUUCUCUCUGAGUAUUUUUCCUUGCUUUGAUUCCUCUGAUAUUUUACUUCCAUCCGAUCCAAACAAGCUAUUAGUGCCGUUGCCCAAAAAAGAAAAAUUAAACAAGCACCAAAAAUAUAAUAUAAGUUGAUAUAGUAUCAACAAAAACACGGGCAAGAUAGGUACCACAUCUUCCAGUCAUAAGCUUCAUAGCUACAUUUAUUUAUUCACAUAACACCAUGAUGUGGAAUGAAGAUGUGAUUUCACAACGCCUCUGCAACAGGGUAGUGAAACGUUGUGGGGGAUUUUUUGAGGAAGCUACUUCCACAGUAGUCUGGGCUUCCAACAUCAAAUUCAUCAAGGUCUGGGGCAUCACAAGUGUUCAGUGUUUUAUAACACUUAUCAGACCUACCACCAGUUUUGCGCAAUUGCUUCUUGUCUUUACCACCUCCUCCUUUUGAGUUGCCUUUCUGGCCCUUCUUUCCAUUUUUCUUGUGGUUAUUGUUGCUAUUUUUGCCUUUAUCUUUCCUAGACUUCCUCUGCUUGCUUGUAACAGAGUGUGAUACUGAAUUAGGAAUAGGAUCAUACACAUCAGGGGCCCAAGUCACAGACAGCUUUCUUGGGGAUGUUCCCAGUUUUUCUCGACUACCUUUCAUGGCAGACACAAGUGGCAAUGCAGGCCUUAUGGGCUCCCCAGAGAACAGCAGCCGCAAUGCUGUUUCAGGUUCAUCAUCUUCAGAUGGCAAUGCUACAGCCUUUUCUAGAGAAUUUUUAACGGGUUCAUGCCCAAAUGGCCCAAGCUCUUGGAAUCCCUCUGCACCACUGGUACAGUCUCCAUCAGAUGCAUCUGUUUCUUGAACAUCCCCUAAAUGCCCAAACUUGCUUAAAUUGCUUUGGAUUUCGUCUACCAGAACACCACCACCAUCCACACAUCGAUUACAGAUAACUUCCAUCAAUAACACCACCAAACAAGAAAUAGGUAACUCUUAUGCUGUCUCUGAAUAGCUCUUAUCAAGUCCAACCAAAUUCUUCAAAUGAUCUCUCUAUCUCCGAUUUCUCGAACCCGAUUUUCACGAAAAUAACAACUAAUUGUAGAAACCCAGAAAGCAAGAACCCAAAAGGAACGAAAAGAGAGAAAGAACUAGAAACGAAUAUAGAAGAGAAAUAGGAAGAAAAAGUUCCUAAUGUUAACUAAGA
rnacentral:misc_RNA from 1 species